ensembl:snoRNA SNORD15 Small nucleolar RNA SNORD15
CUUCUGUGAUGAUACAGUGACGAGUCAGAGAAGUCACAUCCUGCUCUUGGUUCUUGUCAAUACCAUGUUCUGUGGUGCUGAGUAUAGGCUCCUUUGUCAAAAGUGCCCUAUUCCUUGAUUGAGUUAGAGGCAUUUGAAUGAGAAGG